rnacentral:rRNA from 1 species
UACGUAGGCAGCGAGCGUUGUUCGGAAUUAUUGGGCGUAAAGAGCUCGUAGGCGGUUCGUCGCGUCGGCUGUGAAAACCUGAGGCUCAACCUCAGGCCUGCGAGUCGAUACGGGCGGACUUGAGUACUGCAGGGGAGACUGGAAUUCCUGGUGUAGCGGUGAAAUGCGCAGAUAUCAGGAGGAACACCGAUGGCGAAGGCAGGUCUCUGGGCCACUACUGACGCUGAGAAGCGAAAGCAUGGGGAGCAAACAGG